GGCACGGUAGCUUAGUUGGUAAAGCGCUCGUCUAGCAUACAAGAGUCAUGGGUUCGAAUCCCAGCCGAGCAC
rnacentral:tRNA from 1 species